rnacentral:rRNA from 1 species
AGCGAACGCUGGCGGCAGGCCUAACACAUGCAAGUCGAACGAAGUCUUCGGACUUAGUGGCGGAUGGGUGAGUAACACGUGGGAACGUGCCUUUAGGUUCGGAAUAACUCAGGGAAACUUGUGCUAAUACCGAAUGUGCCCUUCGGGGGAAAGAUUUAUACGCCUUUAGAGCGGCCCGCGUCUGAUUAGCUAGUUGGUGAGGUAAAGGCUCACCAAGGCGACGAUCAGUAGCUGGUCUGAGAGGAUGAUCAGCCACAUUGGGACUGAGACACGGCCCAAACUCCUACGGGAGGCAGCAGUGGGGAAUCUUGCGCAAUGGGCGAAAGCCUGACGCAGCCAUGCCGCGUGAAUGAUGAAGGUCUUAGGAUUGUAAAAUUCUUUCACCGGGGACGAUAAUGACGGUACCCGGAGAAGAAGCCCCGGCUAACUUCGUGCCAGCAGCCGCAGUAACAC